GGCCUGUUAGCUCAGCUGGUUAGAGCGUGGUGCUAAUAACGCCAAGGACGUGGGAUCGAUUCCCACAUGGGCCA
rnacentral:tRNA from 1 species